ACACCGGCGGCCCGAGUGGUGAUCGUGAUUAUUGGGUCUAAAGGGUCCGUAGCCGGUUUGGUCAGUCCUCCGGGAAAUCUGAUAGCUCAACUAUUAGGCUUUCGGGGGAUACUGCCAGACUUGGAACCGGGAGAGGUAAGAGGUACUACAGGGGUAGGAGUGAAAUCUUGUAAUCCCUGUGGGACCACCUGUGGCGAAGGAGUCUUACCAGAACGGGUUCGACGGUGAGGGACGAAAGCUGGGGGCACGAACCGGAUUAGAUCCCCGGGUAGUCCCAGCCGUAAACGAUGCUCGCUAGGUGUCAGGCAUGGCGCGACCGUGUCUGGUGCCGCAGGGAAGCCGUGAAGCGAGCCACCUGGGAAGUACGGCCGCAAGGCUGAAACUUAAAUGAAUUGGCGGGG
rnacentral:rRNA from 1 species